GACGAACCGAGCGAACGUUAUUCGGAAUCAUUGGGCUUAAAGGGCGCGUAGGCGGCGGUGUAAGUUGGAAGUGAAAUCCCAUCGGCUCAACCGUGGAAUUGCUCCCAGUACUGCAUCGCUCGAGGGGGAUAGGGGUUUGCGGAACUACCGGUGGAGCGGUGAAAUGUGUUGAUAUCGGUGGGAACGCCAGUGGCGAAAGCGGCAAACUUGACCCUUCCUGACGCUGAGGCGCGAAAGCUAGGGGAGCAAACGGG
rnacentral:rRNA from 1 species